rnacentral:rRNA from 1 species
CCUACGGGAGGCAGCAGUAGGGAAUUUUUCACAAUGGGCGAAAGCCUGAUGGAGCAAUGCCGCGUGAAUGAUGAAGGUCUUAUAGAUUGUAAAAUUCUUUUAUUUGGGAAGAAAAACUAAAGUAGGAAAUGACUUUAGUCUGACUGUACCAUUUGAAUAAGUAUCGGCUAACUAUGUGCAAGCAGCCGCGGUAAUACGUAGGAUGUAAGCGUUAUCCGGAUUUACUGGGCGUAAUACGAGCGCAGGCGGGUUAACAAGUAUGGUAUGAAAGGCUUUUGCUUAACGAUAGUGUGUAUCAGAAACUGUUGAUCUUGAGUAUAGUAGAGGGUUCUGGAAUUCCAGGUGGAGCGGUGGAAUGCGUAGAUAUAAGGAAGAACACCAGUGGCGAAGGCGAGAACUUAGGCUAUCACUGACGCUUAGGCUCGAAAGUGUGGGGAGCAAAUAGGAUUAGAUACCCGGGUAGUC